GGAUAAACGCUGGCGGCGUGCCUAACACAUGCAAGUCGAACGCCCUGGAGCAAUUCAGGGAGUGGCGGACGGGUGAGGAACACGUGGGUUAUCUGCCUUGAGGUGAGGAAUACCGGCGAGAAAUCGCCGACAAUACCGCAUACGUUCGUAAGAACAAAGUCGCAAGACGCCACAAGAUGAGCCUGCGUCCGAUUAGCUAGUUGGUGGGGUAAAGACCUACCAAGGCAGCGAUCGGUAGCUGGUCUGAGAGGACGAUCAGCCACACUGGGAUUGAGAACGGCCCAGACUCCUACGGGGGNGGC
rnacentral:rRNA from 1 species